UAAUAAGUGUUUAUGGCACUUCUUAAAUCCAUAUCCACCUUGUGUGCAAUGUCAGUCCGAUUUUCUUAUGGAGAUCGACCAAACAUCAACCUUAUCUUUUAACUUCUGUCUGAAAACUAUUAUGAAUAAACAGUUCAAAUA
rnacentral:misc_RNA from 1 species